UCCCAGACUCCUACGGGAGGCAGCAGUGGGGGAUAUUGCACAAUGGGGGAAACCCUGAUGCAGCGACGCCGCGUGUGGGAAGACGGUCCUCUGGAUUGUAAACCACUUUCCCCAGGGACGAAAAUGACGGUACCUGGGGAGGAAGCUCCGGCUAACUACGGGCCAGCAGCCGCGGAAAUACGUAGGGAGCGAGCGUUGUCCGGAAUUACUGGGUGUAAAGGGAGCGUAGGCGGGCGAGAAAGUUGAAUGUUGAAUCUACCGGCUUAACUGGUAGCUGCGUUCAAAACUUCUUGUCUUGAGUGAAGUAGAGGCAGGCGGAAUUCCUAGUGUAGCGGUGAAAUGCGUAGAUAUUAGGAGGAACACCAGUGGCGAAGGCGGCCUGCUGGGCUUUAACUGACGCUGAGGCUCGAAAGCGUGGGGAGCAAACAGGAUUAGAUACCCCCGUAGUC
rnacentral:rRNA from 1 species